AUUGAACGCUGGCGGCAUGCCUUACACAUGCAAGUCGAACGGCAGCGGACCUUCGGGUGCCGGCGAGUGGCGAACGGGUGAGUAAUGUAUCGGAACGUACCUUUCAGUGGGGGAUAACGUAGCGAAAGUCACGCUAAUACCGCAUAUUCUGUGAGCAGGAAAGCAGGGGAUCGCAAGACCUUGCGCUGAUUGAGCGGCCGAUAUCAGAUUAGCUAGUUGGUGAGGUAAAGGCUCACCAAGGCGACGAUCUGUAGCGGGUCUGAGAGGAUGAUCCGCCACACUGGAACUGAGACACGGUCCAGACUCCUACGGGAGGCAGCAGUGGGGAAUUUUGGACAAUGGGGGCAACCCUGAUCCAGCCAUGCCGCGUGAGUGAAGAAGGCCUUCGGGUUGUAAAGCUCUUUCGGCCGGGAAGAAAUCGCAUGGGCUAAUACCCUGUGUGGAUGACGGUACCGGAAUAAGAAGCACCGGCUAACUACGUGCCAGCCGCCGCGGUAA
rnacentral:rRNA from 1 species